GGUAGCAUGGCCGAGCGGUCUAAGGCGCUGGUUUAAGGCACCAGUCAUUUCGUUGGCGUGGGUUCGAAUCCCACUGCUGCCA
rfam:Ciona savignyi cont_40747, whole genome shotgun sequence.